GACACAGGCUGUGUAAAGUGAAGGUUUCUAAUUCAGAAAGCCCUUCCCGACCUGUUCUUGGAAGCAGCCGAGCUUGCAGAAGAAGACAAGUGGCGGUGCAGUCUAGCAGCUGGACGCUGGAGGGUGGGCGCUCGGGGCUUUGUUCAGUCACGGUUCUGGAGGGCGGUUUGCUCUGUCAGGCCUGUCCUGGGGUUUGUCACACCAAAGGUCACAGGUGCAUGACAGUCAGUCUGGAGCCCGGCGCCCUUGUACAGCGGAAACAGGAGAGGGAGAGAGGGUGCUCGUUUCCCAUGGGUCCAUACAUGCAUCCAUCUAUUCAUCCAGACGGUCAGUCAGUCUGUCCACCACUCAUCUGGCCAUUCAUUCAAGAAACAAUCACUGACCGCCGGCCGUGGGCUGGGUCCCCGCUGGGGGCUGGGGCAGAGAAAUGAGAGAGUCCUCCCUGUCACAGAGACUCUCGGGCUGGGGAGAGACCACCGCCGUGGGCGAGAGAAGUCUUGGGCCUGGGGGCUCAGAGGAGGGCCCAGGCCAGUAGGUGGGCUCCCCGCGGGGUCAAGUCCCUGGGGCCCAGAGCAAGUGGUCAGCAGCCUUUGUGGAAUGAGUUUCCACCAGGAAGCCCACAUCCUGCAGGCACCCAGCCCUGCCCCUGGCUCCCCACUGCCAGGCCCCAGCCUGCACUCCUGUCCCUCCCCAGGGCGGCCCCUGCUGGCCUUAGCAGGGGGAGGCCUCUCCUGGCCCUCUCCCUGGUCACCCGCGUCCCUGAGCAUGCGCUUCGCCCUCUGGCCUGCAGGGGUCAGCAAGCUUCCGGGCCUACUGUGUUUAUUAGCACAGCUGGUGCUCUGAUCCGUGGCCGCUCACUGGCAGGGACCCGAGUGGUCCUCUGUUUUCCUGGUAACAGCCCUGGCCAUGCUGCGGUGAAGGCGUGACGGGCCCCCUCUGGGGAGCAGCUCCCUAGGGAGGCUCAACCUACUUGCAGAAAGUCCAGUCGCUUGCAUUAGGAAGAACUCAGCUCUGUUCGUUUCAUAAGGCUGAUCUCACAUCUAUUUAAAGCUCUUCCUUCCUUCCCUCCCCAGCAGACAUUACCGGCCUGGGAGAGCUGGGUGACCUCCGGAGAGUGUGUGCCUGCAUCUGUCCCUCCCAGCCUGUUUGUUGUGGUAAAAACCACACGUCAUGAGCUCUGCCCUCAACCCGUCGUCGCGUACAGACUUGCUGACUGUGAGCCCGUGUCAGGCAGCAGAGCCCAUGGCACUGUCUGUUCUGAGGAACUGAA